UUUGCCUGGAUCGCCCUUUCGGGUUUUCAAUCCACCGGGAUACCCAUUUUUGCCUAAGCCGCCCUUGCGGGUUUUCGACUUACCGGGUGUACAAUUUUUUUCAUUUUUAUCCCUAACUUUUGCCCGAACCUUUUCUUUCUGUUUUUUUUUGGUUCGCCGGGAUGCCCAUUUUUUGCCUGGACUCUUUUUUUUUGUCCAGCGGGUCAAUUUUAUGCGAAGUAUUUUUUGACUACAUCUGAGUUAAC
rnacentral:lncRNA from 1 species